AUUAUAAAUCUGUUCUUCUCGGAGGAACGGCAGACCCUGUUUCCCGUCCAGGAAGCAGGACGUCACAGCCUAUCAUUGCUCCGAUCAGCUAGCAGCAGCUUCGAUAUAAAAGGAACGAGGAGAUGCCUCGAAUCGAGAACUGGCCGCGAGCACCACGAUCGAAACUUUCCUCUUCGUCUUCGAUCUAUGUUACGACUAUGUUACGAGUAAAGACACCAAAAUUUCCGGUGACGCUGUUGCAUGUUGUUUGCGAAGGAACGCGGUCUAAGACGGAGAUGGGGACGCGUGUACGUGCGUGGAAACGGGUUUGGAAUCAUUGAGAACGGCGGCCGGUCGACGGCCGACAAAAAGUUGGAGCUCACGCACGGCUGCUGUUCGCGUCGCUCGUGAUGAGAAGACAGUCGAUGGAAAUAAACGAGAAGAGGGCCGGCCCAAGGGGAACACGGAUAGGAUAAGGGGAAUAGAGAAGAUGGAAGGAGGAAAGAGAGAAAGCAGGAGAGCGACGAUCUUACGCGACCGCGUGAAAAAUUUUGUCCACGCGAGGCUCGUGACGUGCCGCGUGAGAACACCUAUUUUCUACGUGCAGUCGCUUCUCACGGGAGAGUUUGUUGCUGAAUAGCUAAAUGUAUACGUAAGACAGAAAGAAAUUGAAAAAAGCAUCGCACAAGUCUCACAGUACGUGUACGUUGCCAAGUGACUAUGCGUUUAAAGCUCGGUUUUCCAGCCCGUGAGUCAUAAAUCCAACAGGGGAUGCAAAGUUUCCUGGAGAAUCGCCAUCGCAAGUUUAGUUGAAUAUCUUUGGCGCUUGUUUAUUUCAGUAUGGUCGAAUUGUCGCGUUAUAUUAAAACUACUUUUUUACCUAGAUGGAAAGUCGCCAGACAAAACGUUAACUUAUACGUAAGGAUUACAAGUCUUUCACCUAUCAACUAUCAAAUUGGUAGAGUCCUAGAAAUCGAUAAAAGAGUCCUGAGCUUCGAUCGACAGACUCGAUCGUUGAGUCACAGAGGUUGCGGAUUAUUCGACUGUUUUAACAGGGGUUGCGAUUCAAACAGAAUUGAGAAACGUGACGAGUAUUAAAAUUCGUCGGACCAUCAAAUUUCUGCAAUCUAAAAGAAGGAGCCGUAAAUCUCGAUCGAACAAUAGUCAUCGAACGAUACUUUCACUCCGAUAAUUUGCAUUAUUCUCCACGCAAUUCGACGAUCAUGAUUUUUCUUCGUAAAGGGGUUGCAGAUCAUUCGACCACUCCGAAAGGAUGCGAGAGGUUGCGACUCAAAGACGAUGGAGACACGUGACUUUUGAGUAUUAAGACUCUUCGAACGAUCGAAUCGCUGGAAUCGAAACGGACAAAAGGGCCGCGUAGCUUCGAUCGACGUCGUUGAAUGAUACUUUUACUCGCUUUCGUAGAGUGGUUGCGCGGCGACCCUGGCUUGUCGAGGCAUGAAUCGGCGCCGCGGCUACUCGAUGCUUCGGUUUACGUUCUCCAGCGAGUGGCACGCGAUCGUUGAAAAGUUUGGAGCGCUCGAUCGGUGGAAAGGCGCUGGAGUCUGAUUCAUUUUGAGAAAAAGGACAAGAACGAAGGGGAAGAGAGAAACUUUAACUUUGUCCGUGUCGUGAGAAACACGACGACGUCCAUUAAUGGCGGUAUUAUAAACCGCUUCUCGCGUGCAUCGGUAAAGAGGUUGAGAGCCAAGGAGGGGAACACGACACCACAGGAGAGGGGAAGCGGGUGCCCGAUCAGCGGAGAUGCAUGCGAAAAAAGGUGAAAUUACGUAAACAUCUUGCAAACGACGAUUACCACACGCCGGGACUAGCUCGGUGUUCACCUCUGUUCGAAGCGCCUGAAAGAAACCGCUAUAGCCUUAGCUGCAUAUGUAUACAUCUGGUCGUUCCAUCAGGAACAUUCGGAAUUUUUCAUAUUUUUCACAAUUUACUCGUAGUAGAAUUUUAAUCGUAAGACCGAGAGACGCGUGCGUGUUGUAAUAGCGAAGAUUAUAUUAAUUAUCCAACAAUAAGACGAAGAGAUAAGAAAGUUUGAAAGAUAAACGGUAGAAAGAGCGGGACAAUUUUAGAAAAAAAGAAGAAAGUUAGAAUCGAUGAGAAGAGAAAGAAUUAUGAAUUAAUAUAGCUAAUAUAUGCCUAUGUAUGGUAUAAUAUACCUAAUAAGUAUGUACAUGUUAUGUAGUUGUUGUUAAUGUAACGUAGUUAUUAUGCACAAGUAUGAAUUUUUAACUUUCUUCAGUCCGGCACUGUACACGGAUAUGUAUAUGAGCCUCUAAGAAGCCAAUCUAAUCAACGCUGCUUCUUGCGAGUCUCUCGAUUACGUUAUUUGGAUGUGUGAUUAGUAUUGAAUUCAUCAAGGAAACAAGUUACCCUCAUAAAUUUCAUUAUUCCGAGAAAAUGCAAUUAACAUAGAUUCAAAGGAAAUUUUUGAAAAAUUAUAACGUUCAACGUACGUUACUUUUCACUUUACAGCUACAGUUAAUCAAUGGCUUCCAAGCUGACCUCGUAUGCUAAUGUAUUUAAUUAAUGUCUCUACUCUUUGCUUUAACUAUUUAUGAUCAUAUUAUUUGUAAUACGCUUGGAUAUGACGUUUCUUUAAUUUUUCUAUUCCUUCGCCGAAGAUCAGCGUGAUGUCGUUUUUCAAAAUCGGCGGUCGGCUCCGGAAACACGACACCUUUAAAAUUCGUCCGUUCGGUGACUCGAUUUUCCUCGAACAUUCCGCUCGAUUCUGCUUCAUUCGUAGAUCCGAGCUGUUCCAAAGAGAAUGGAUCGAGACGAUGGCAAAGACGGAUCGGAUACCGCGGAAAUUGGACCAAUCGUUGCGAAAACGACGCUGAUACACCGAGGUCGGCAGAGUAGUUUGCAUGCAAUAAAUAUUAAUGCUGCGUGCUCGGCGCGUAAAUAUUUGCGAUCGACGAGCGCGUCGCGCUGGAACGACGAUAAUUGGUCUAAUGAAUGCAUCGAUCGAUCCACUCGCUCGGCCAUCGUUUCGUCGUGAAAUUUAAGUCGAAGGAGGAUCCAAGGGGCGGAACAAGAAGACACGAAAGACGUGUCAGACUUUUUGUCAUUCGUCGUCAUUUGACUACGAGGUACGCAUAUUUAUCAGCAAGGAAGUUACUCCGACCAUGAUUAUUCACUUUUCAAAACUGCAUCGUAGUAUCAACGUUGAUCAAAUAUAAUCAAGUAGAUCGUCGUGUAAUAGCGUCGCUUCGAAAUCACGUUGAUCUCGUCAAGAACAAAAAUUGAUUAUUACAGACGGCGAAAUCAAAAUUCCACGAAAUGUGGCGGCCACCGUCGAUGUAGUACGAUAUUAAGGUUUUUUUUUUUUUUAGUCGAAUUUGAAACGCGAUUCGCUUAUUAGCCACGCCGUUUGCACUUCUGAACACGGAAAAUUAAAUAAACUAUUAUUUUUCAUCUUUCAUUUUACGAUUAUUCCACUAUACGAAUAAUUAUAAUUUUAGAUUUAUACGGCGUUUCUUUUCCACAAA